rnacentral:rRNA from 1 species
UACGUAGGGUGCAAGCGUUGUCCGGAUUUACUGGGCGUAAAGCGCAUGUAGGCGGCUUUUCAAGUCAGAUGUUAAAUACAAAGGCUUAACCUUUGAACGCAUUUGAGACUGUAAGGCUAGAGUACAGGAGAGAGAAGUGGAACGCAUAAUGUAGCGGUGAAAUGCGUAGAUAUUAUGCGGAACACCGGUGGCGAAGGCGACUUCUUGGACUGAAACUGACGCUGAGAUGCGAAAGCAUGGGGAGC